AACGACAGGUUUGUUAUGGGUCAUGCUUUGAGGAUAACAUCUGAUUCCCGUCUCUCAUCUCUGGAAUCUGUUUCUCUUUGGAGGUUUUGUGUCCCAAUUUUGAGUUGUUGGUCUGGUUUUUCAGUUGCUAGGAUCUUUUGGUUUUACAAAAGGGUGUAAAUAGAAUGUAUAUUUUGAUCUUUUGCAUUGUUUUUCUAAUUCCCAUUUUUCACUUGGUCUUUUUUCGAUUUAUGAAGGGAGUUUUCUCCCACCUCUGGCUGCCUCUAUGAGUAUCAAGGCCAAAGACCCCCCAUCUAACGCAGGCAAAGGAGGAAGAUUUAUCACUGCAAGGUUAAGAUUUAGAAUAGCUAUAAAUUGGUAAAGCCCGUAUGUGUUUGAUUUAGCAAUUUCUGCACCAACAGCUAUAAUAGCAAUAGGACCUGAAACCUUGCUAGCAGUUUGGGAGAAAUUAAAAAAAGUAUGUUUUAAGCUGUCCAAAACAUUAGAGGUCAAACCCAAGAAUUCGCGUCCUGAGAAAUUGAAAGCUUCCAUGAGAUUCUUCGGCUUAAUGUUUGAGAACUUCACAUUGGGUGAUAACUGAACCCCAAUUCGACCUGUACCAUCAGAGUUCUCAUCAGGGAAAACAAUAAUCUCAAUAUCCUGCUUUGCUCUCUCAACUUCUGACUCCUCUUGUAUAGGUAUAUCACUGGAAUCUUUUUGUUUCUUUAAAGGUUGGCAGAUGGAGUUUGUUGGUAGUUUCUUGUUAAUGGAAAUAAAUUUUGGUUUAAAUUUUCCAAAUCAUCUGUUAGAAUUCUGCUAAAAAAAGAUUAAUGUUGGCUGGGUGUUUAUAUUAAACACUGAUUUCAUAAGGAGAAUAUUUUUUAUGUGGAUUUUCUCCUAUUUCAGUUCACUCAAAUGGCUAUUUGCUAGGCUUAUGCAGUUUAGAAUUUUAGAUUUUAGUUUUGUAAUAUUCCAUCCGUCCAAGUAUAAAAGUCCUUAUUCCAUCUAGUUUAUGCAGGUUGAGUGCUCCCAGAUGGCUGAUAUGGCACAAGAAAUUGUUAAAGAUAAUGGUUUUUCAAAUG
rnacentral:lncRNA from 1 species